rnacentral:rRNA from 1 species
AGUGAACGCUGGCGGCGUGCCUAACACAUGCAAGUCGAACGAGAACGGAUUUAAGCUUGCUUAAAUUGUCAGCUAAGUGGCGCACGGGUGAGUAAUGUAUAGAUAACGUGCCUAGAAGAAGGGGAUAAUUGUUGGAAACGACUUGUAAUACCCUAUAUGCCUUUAUCACAUAAGUGAGCAAGGGAAAUAUUUAUAGCUUCUAGAUCGGUCUGUAUGGUAUCAGAUAGUUGGUGAGGUAAUGGCUCACCAAGUCUAUGACACCUAACUGGUUUGAGAGGAUGAUCAGUCACACUGGAACUGAGACACGGUCCAGACUCCUACGGGAGGCAGCAGUGGGGAAUAUUGCACAAUGGAGGGAACUCUGAUGCAGCAACGCCGCGUGGAGGAUGACACAUUUCGGUGCGUAAACUCCUUUUAUAUAGGAAGAUAAUGACGGUACUAUAUGAAUAAGCACCGGCUAACUCCGUGCCAGC